UUGAAGUUUGAAUCUAAAUCAGUCAAAUCAGACUCAUCCCUUUAAUUAAAAUGAGGGAGUUCAUUUAAGCUCAAACACAGGGCUGAAAUAGCCUCUCACUGUUACCAAGAAGACCACAGGGUGCCGAACCUGCAUUGAGUUUUACUAAUUAGCUCACCUGCCGCAGCUCGCCUGCCAGGUGGUUUUCUUAAUUAGUUAAUUGGUUGCAUCUGGUGCGUUUCACUUAAAAGGGAACCGGACAGUACAUUUGUUUGUGUACUGUUUUCUUGAGGCCUGUUGUGACUUAUUUAACAUCUCUUCCAGUUUCACAGGUUAAAGACUUUUUGAAGUAAAGAGGAGCAUCUCAUCUGAACCUGAUGUCUAUCAUGGAUAUUUAACUGAAGUUCUGUGAGUAUCCCAACUUAACCAUGAAGCAUAUCUGCAAACUGUAAGUCAUUAAUUUCUCAUUACUCUUGGGCACAUUGAUGCAUUUUGGCUUCCUGGUGAGUUAACCUGUUACCUGAAGGUUGAUCUUAGUAGUAAGGAUGUUUUAUUGGUUCAUGGGUUACUUAGGUGUUUGGUUUAUGUUUGUAUUAAUGAUUUGUUAAAAUGGUUACAGGCUCCAAGUUAUUGUUGUAAGCUGGAGUAAUGGGUUGGGUUCUGAUAUCUUCAGUCUUCUUUCAUUCUACUCUCCUGAGCUCUGCAUCUUCAUCACAUGAGUGUUGCUUUACUGAUGAGGGCGUGGUCUGAAUGAGCAGAGGUGCAUACUGGGAUACAGAGCUGUCUCGAGUCUACAGGUCUGUAGACACGCCCCCUCAGGGGAAACCGAGUGUUUGAGAAACUGUCGUGACGUCAGUUACAUGGACUGGAAUGUUCUUAAAGAUGGAGACAGGGAUUCAGAAGGAGAAUCACCAGGGGGAGAUGAGGGGGCUCCUCAUCUCAACGACUAAAACACAACUUCAGUCUGACAGAGAACCAUGGAACACAUUCAACAGUUCCCUCCAGGCAUCGUGACUCCUCAGGAACAGUUUCAUUUCCAAGAAGGUCUUAUUUGGGGCCAUCCCCAUAUGGAUCCUGCUCCUCAAGAGCCACCCCCCUCCACUGGGUUGUCUUCUGAACAGAUUACCUCCUUCCUGUCCUCAGGCUGACUAAAGCUGCACCAUUUGCAUCUGUGAAGGCCCCUCAUUCAGGAAACCACUGGACUACAAAGACAUGACUUCAGAGAUGUUGAAUCAACCCGGGACACAUUUUGGAGACGCCAAGCAUAAUCCAUCACCAAUGUGGGACGCCACUGAAGAAUGUUGUACAUAAUUUACGUCUCUGGAGACAUUGAUUGUUCUGUUAUGGGUGCCCUGGCAGGAGAGCUGGGGGGGGGGGGGGGAUGAUGGAAUGUUAUUUGCUAUGAGGUUUUUACCCUGCAUGAUUGUUUGGCCUUUGUGUGUGUGUGUGUGUGUGUGUGUGUGUGUGUGUGUGUGUGUGUGUGUGUGUGUGUCACCUGGCAUGGGGUUCUACGUGCCUGUCCUGGGUUCUGUGUGUGUGUGUGUGUCCGGCUUGCUUUGACAGUGAUAAUGUUCAUACGGGGGUCUGUGUGAUUGGCUUGGGCUAUUGGAAUGGUCAACUAAAUCAUACCUGUUGGACGGCCACACGUUUACGUAAGGGCCUCCAGUAGACAUGAAGAGCCCUGAGCGACGCUCCGGAGCGAGAUCCAACACACUUCGCAGGAAGGAGAGUAUCCAACUCAAGUGUAAAAGGAUGCAAGCGGCGUGUUCAGAUCAGUGACUUCAAACUAGGACUACACCAAUCAGGAUCAAUGGAGGAUGGACACCAAAAGGAAUUUCACAAGGAGAGUCUGACGUUGGAAAGGGACCUAAAUGGAUAUUCAAGAUGACCUUCAGACCUGUAAUGAGACGGCUCUUCCUACCUGGCUGGAUUGAUGGAGAGCCCUGUGGAUCUUGUCUUGCUCUCAGUUGCACGUCUUCUCAGGCUGAACUGUAUUUGUUUCGGACAGGACUAGCUGAACGAUUGGUUCCCUUAAAUCCGAACCAAUCCUGGAACUCCAGCUAGUGGGCUCUUCGAGCUGAAGUUGUGCUCUUCAGCUGAGGAGGUAAGGAAACCUUCACUGGGGCUUCAAGGUGUGAAGAGGAGAAUGUUUCAAAGUGUUCCAUGGUACUCUGAUGAAGACCGUUGUGUUCCACUGGCUGCGAGGAAGAACCCACACAUCUUCCUCUUGGCCUUUCUCCUCUGAGAAUCCUGGCGCCAUCUUGAAGGAUAUUCCAGCUCAUGUAACUGAUGUCACGACAGAUUCUCAAACACUUGGUUUCUCCUGAGGGGCGUGUCUAUGGAACUGAAGACUUCAGACAGCACUGUUUCCCAGCAUGCAUCUCUGCUCACUCAGACUACAACCCCAUAAGUAGGAUGCAACACUCUAGGGAUGGAGAUGUAGAGUUUUAUAAGUAACAAGGGAGCAGACUAAGGUAAUUAGAACACAAUGGAAUGUCAAGUCUGUAAAUCUUUAAUCCAUGAAGAUUCGUUGGAUAGUUCAGGAUUUCGGCUUUUUAUUAUCGGCAGUCCUUUUAAUCAGAUGCUCACUGGAGCUGUACAUGUGUUGGCUGGCUGGCAUGAUUUGCUGUUGGUGAUGAGGCGGUCAGGGUGACGUUGCAGGGCUAUGGUCGGCUCUCUGUGAGGUCAACAUUUAGAUUUGCUCUGUAUGGUUUGUACCCUGAAUAAUCUAGAAAAUUGUCAAAUGUAGACAGUUUUGUAUUGAAUAAUUCCAGGAUUUGAGGCUUAAAGUUGUUGUGGGACGUACAUGGUAGUUUGGUUCUUCGUAUGGUUUUGAGUGAUAUAACUUGUACACACUGGGUGCAUAAUAAUGUAAAGGUACACUGAAUAGUAUUAAUGACCAACAGCAACAAACAGAUCUCCUCAAGGUAAGUCUGUUGGCUGUGUUUUGAUGAAGACCAUCGCUAGACUUCAGGAUCUUCCUCCGUUCAGCUCAAGGUGAGGCGCUGGUUCUGUUUUUUCUUUGGUUGGUUCCGGCCGGAAUGUUCGGAUUCCAGUCGGACGGUUUGUGCUUCCCGCCGUGGAAGGUUCUGAGUGCGGUCACUUGAUUUAGUCCCAAUGGUUAGCAUAGAACGUUGUAGUCUUGACAACCAUAAUAAACCACCUGGCAGUUAGUUGGACGGGAGUCCCCUGAGGGAAUCUGGCGGAACGUUCUGGAUUGUAUUUGCGUAACCUCGAGCCGUUGCCAACGGGAAAAAAAAAUUCAGUCGGUUUCCAUUGGGAAUUGUUGCCCCCUAUCUUAAAUAACUAAAGUUAGAUAUUAAAUACAUACUAACACGUACGUCGUACAAUAUGUUGAUAAUUUCCGAUGGUUGCGCCGUACUUUUAACCACGAUGACGUUGCGGGACUCUCACUGCGUACAAAACAGCGUUCUACUUGCGGGCCCAUCAGGGAAGGCUUAAAAUCAUUUCAAGGUGGAAGAUAAUUUGACAUUUCUUCAACGGAACCCAGCAGCUGAAUAUGGCUGAGUAUAUUUGAUUUAAUAUCGCUUUGUGUUCUUUGUUACUUCAGCUUUUGUACGUUCUAAAUAUCUGCUGUCAUUAAUUGCCACAGAAGUUAAACACUACCCAAUGGAAUGACGUUAAACAUUGACUUUGGUGCAGAGUUGACAAAUGGAUAAUAUAAAAGCUAAAAUAAUGGCCGUCAUUCCCACAUGUUACAGUAGAAGAUACUCUACAACUGUACAAGGUUAAAAAGGUAACAUGUAGUUUGUUCCAAGGUGUCUGCCUCCUCACCCAGAGCAAGACCUCCACCUCCUCACCCAGAGCCAGACCUCCACCUCCUCACCCAGAGCCAGACCUCCACCUCCUGUCAGAAGUCCUCCAGAACAGCUGAAAGGCGAGGCUGAGAGGCUGGGGACCGGAGGCUUGUGGUGCCAGGGUGGACCUGAGGCUGGAGACCAGGGGCCUGCAGCACCGGACCAGAGGCUGUGAGUAAGUGAAGGAGCUGAUGGAGGAGUCGUGCUGAAGGAGCUGAUGGAGGAGCCGUGCUGAAGGCCCUGGGCUGGUGGAGGGCCUGCCUGGUGAAUGACGUCUGUCGUGGGGUAGAUGGAGCUUGACUCUGAAACCAGGACUCUGUCUGAGGAGAGCUGCUGGAGGAGCUGAGACGCUGGAGGACGACUAGGAAUCGACCAACAAGGAUUCCUCAUAAAACGUGUUUCUGGAGCGGAGGCGAGCUGGUAGGGGAGCCGUGAAUCUGGAGGAUGACCAUCACUCUACCAACAAGGAUUACUUUAGGGCCAGACUCGCGCUGUUUGUUCCAGACCAGGACUCUGAUGGAGGAGCCAAGACUCUGGAGGACGACAUCACUCCACCAACCAGGAUCCUUAGACAAAUUACGUUUGUAACCAGACCAGGAUCUGGAGGACUGAUGGAGAAGCCGUACAUCUGGAAGGCAAAUCCUGAGGACCACCAGGACUCUACCAUCAAGGAUUCCUCAUAAGUUUGCAUUAUCUGGACAUAGUGGACUAGACGCACCUGAGCUGAACCUCACCUGAUCCUGUUUGGUCGGGGGUAGACACACCUGAGCUAAACUUGCCCUGAUCCUGACAUCCUGCUGGUCCCGUCUCCUCAGUUCAUCUGAGCCUCGUCCUCCAGAAGACCUGCUGAGCUCAGCAGUCUGAGGCUGAUGGAUCAAUGACCUCCAGUGGGAGUGAUCUUCUUGACCCCACAUGUAACCGUGUGCUUCCACACGCCUUUCCUUCACGUCUGUCACUAACCUCACUACUUCACUACUCUCUACUGCUUCCUCUUUUCUUCCUUCUCUGUGGUUCAAACCUUUACACUGAAGGCGUGUCUUCCUGCCCUCAGAGGGUUUAGCGUUAGGGUUGAGAGUCAGGGUUUAGAGUCAGGGACAGAGCUGGUCAGGGAGGACUGCUUUUACACAAACCUCUUCACUUGCUUUCGGAAUGGUGGUGACAUUUUGAAAAGAUUCAUUUGGGAAAAUGUUUUCCUCUGCUUUCCUUUACAAAAUUGUAUUAAACUUCUGUCAAGUGUUUUUAUUUAUAUAUUAAAAUCCCACAUU